AAAUUGAAGAGUUUUAUCAUGGCUCAGAUUGAACGCUGGCGGCAGGCCUAACACAUGCAAGUCGAACGGUAACAGGAAGCAGCUUGCUGCUUUGCUGACGAGUGGCGGACGGGUGAGUAAUGUCUGGGAAACUGCCUGAUGGAGGGGGAUAACUACUGGAAACGGUGGCUAAUACCGCAUAACGUCGCAAGACCAAAGAGGGGGACCUUCGGGCCUCUUGCCAUCAGAUGUGCCCAGAUGGGAUUAGCUGGUUGGUGAGGUAACGGCUCACCAAGGCGACGAUCCCUAGCUGGUCUGAGAGGAUGACCAGCCACACUGGAACUGAGACACGGUCCAGACUCCUACGGGAGGCAGCAGUGGGGAAUAUUGCACAAUGGGCGCAAGCCUGAUGCAGCCAUGCCGCGUGUAUGAAGAAGGCCUUCGGGUUGUAAAGUACUUUCAGCGGGGAGGAAGGUGUUGCGGUUAAUAACC
rnacentral:rRNA from 1 species